rnacentral:rRNA from 1 species
GAGUACGGUCGCAAGAUUAAAACUCAAAGGAAUUGACGGGGACCCGCACAAGCGGUGGAUGAUGUGGAUUAAUUCGAUGCAACGCGAAAAACCUUACCUACCCUUGACAUGUACGGAACCCUGCUGAGAGGUGGGGGUGCUCGAAAGAGAGCCGUAACACAGGUGCUGCAUGGCUGUCGUCAGCUCGUGUCGUGAGAUGUUGGGUUAAGUCCCGCAACGAGCGCAACCCUUGUCAUUAGUUGCUACGAAAGGGCACUCUAAUGAGACUGCCGGUGACAAACCGGAGGAAGGUGGGGAUGACGUCAAGUCCUCAUGGCCCUUAUGGGUAGGGCUUCACACGUCAUACAAUGGUACAUACAGAGGGCCGCCAACCCGCGAGGGGGAGCUAAUCCCAGAAAGUGUAUCGUAGUCCGGAUUGUAGUCUGCAACUCGACUACAUGAAGUUGGAAUCGCUAGUAAUCGCGGAUCAGCAUGUCGCGGUGAAUACGUUCCCGGGUCUUGUACACACCGCCCGUCACACCAUGGGAGCGGGUUUUACCAGAAGUAGGUAGCUUAACCGCAAGGGGGGCGCUUACCACGGUAGGAUUCGUGACUGGGGUG